rnacentral:lncRNA from 1 species
UCACCACCACCAAGGGCGAUGAGCCCGCGAACGACGCCGGCGGCGUGCGCGCCACCCUCGGCUCCGCCGUUCUCUGCUCCAACACCACCCUCAAGCUCGAGACCGACCCCGACUCUGGCCUCGCCAAGUGGACCCCCCGCGGUAACUCCUCCGAGGCUCCCCUCGUCGUCGCGGGCCACAAGUGCGGCAUCAAGCUCGAGGACCUCGAGGCGAGCCUCACCCGCGUGUACGAGAUUCCCUUCUCCUCCUCCCGCAAGAUGAUGGUCACCAUCACCAAGACGACCGGCGCUACCUCCCUCAGCCACGUCGCCGCGUCGGGUGAGCACACCGCGCACGUGAAGGGCGCCCCCAACUACAUCAUGGAGAAGUGCACGUCUUACAUGGCCGCCGACGGAUCCAUCGUCGACUUCGACGAGGCUGCCAAGGCUGAGUUCACCGCCAAGGUUGACGAGCUGUCCUCCCAGGCGCUCCGCGUGCUCGCCAUCGCUACCAAGGAUCUCGGUGCCAAGCUCCCCUACGGCGAGGAGGAGGAGACCGAUGCCAAGUUUGACAAGAUCGUCAACGGCCUCACCCUCUGCGGUCUUUGCGCGUCCAUCGACCCCGAGCGUGACGGCGUGAAGGAUUCCGUCCUUCAGUCCCGCCAGGCUGGCGUCCGCGUCGUGAUGAUCACCGGUGACUACCUCAAGACAGCCAUUGCCAUCGCCAAGAACAUCAACAUCCUCAACCGCCACACCUUCACCGAGGGCAACGGCGAGGCCACCGACUGUGGAGCUCUCCGUCCCCACAAGGAGGGUGAGUACCUCUCCAACCCCGAGAUUGACGCACUCACCAAGACCACCUCCGUCUUUGCCCGCGCCAAGCCUGAGGAUAAGCUUGAGAUUGUGAAGUCUCUCCAGCGCCAGGGUUUCGUCUGCGCGAU